AUGACCGCGGCCCCGCCGUCCCGCCCUGCCCGCUCUCGCCCGUCCCGCCGCCCCGCCGUCUCGCCCGCCCCACCUCCCCGCCCCGCCCNNCUCGCCCGUCCCGCCGCCCCGCNNGCCAUGGCCAUGGCCGAUGACCGCGGCCCCGCCGUCCCGCCCUGCCCGCCGCGGCGGCCAUGGACGGUCCUUGCUGCGCCGCAUCCCCCGCCGGUCCUCCUUCUCCUCCUCCCGCACGCGCGCCGCGCCCUCACCUCUCUCUCUCUCCCUUCCAUCCCUGCACCGCGCCCGCCUCCCAGCCCCGCCGCCGUCCAGGUCCAGCCCCACGCCACUGUCGUCUUCUUUGCCCAGCGGCCGCCGCCGCACCGCAUGCUCGUGUGUAGGGGCGAGAAGGGGAACCACCGCCCGCCCCCGGAGCGUGAGAGGUGA
rnacentral:rRNA from 1 species